rnacentral:rRNA from 1 species
UGGAAGCGUCUGGAAAGGCGCGCGAUACAGGGUGACAGCCCCGUACACAAAAAUGCACAUACUGUGAGCUCGAUGAGUAGGGCGGGACACGUGGUAUCCUGUCUGAAUAUGGGGGGACCAUCCUCCAAGGCUAAAUACUCCUGACUGACCGAUAGUGAACCAGUACCGUGAGGGAAAGGCGAAAAGAACCCCGGCGAGGGGAGUGAAAAAGAACCUGAAACCGUGUACGUACAAGCAGUGGGAGCACGCUUAGGCGUGUGACUGCGUACCUUUUGUAUAAUGGGUCAGCGACUUAUAUUCUGUAGCAAGGUUAACCGAAUAGGGGAGCCGAAGGGAAACCGAGUCUUAACUGGGCGUUAAGUUGCAGGGUAUAGACCCGAAACCCGGUGAUCUAGCCAUGGGCAGGUUGAAGGUUGGGUAACACUAACUGGAGGACCGAACCGACUAAUGUUGAAAAAUUAGCGGAUGACUUGUGGCUGGGGGUGAAAGGCCAAUCAAACCGGGAGAUAGCUGGUUCUCCCCGAAAGCUAUUUAGGUAGCGCCUCGUGAAUUCAUCUCCGGGGGUAGAGCACUGUUUCGGCAAGGGGGUCAUCCCGACUUACCAACCCGAUGCAAACUGCGAAUACCGGAGAAUGUUAUCACGGGAGACACACGGCGGGUGCUAACGUCCGUCGUGAAGAGGGAAACAACCCAGACCGCCAGCUAAGGUCCCAAAGUCAUGGUUAAGUGGGAAACGAUGUGGGAAGGCCCAGACAGCCAGGAUGUUGGCUUAGAAGCAGCCAUCAUUUAAAGAAAGCGUAAUAGCUCACUGGUCGAGUCGGCCUGCGCGGAAGAUGUAACGGGGCUAAACCAUGCACCGAAGCUGCGGCAGCGACGCUGAUGCGUUGUUGGGUAGGGGAGCGUUCUGUAAGCCUGUGAAGGUGUGCUGUGAGGCAUGCUGGAGGUAUCAGAAGUGCGAAUGCUGACAUAAGUAACGAUAAAGCGGGUGAAAAGCCCGCUCGCCGGAAGACCAAGGGUUCCUGUCCAACGUUAAUCGGGGCAGGGUGAGUCGACCCCUAAGGCGAGGCCGAAAGGCGUAGUCGAUGGGAAACAGGUUAAUAUUCCUGUACUUGGUGUUACUGCGAAGGGGGGACGGAGAAGGCUAUGUUGGCCGGGCGACGGUUGUCCCGGUUUAAGCGUGUAGGCUGGUUUUCCAGGCAAAUCCGGAAAAUCAAGGCUGAGGCGUGAUGACGAGGCACUACGGUGCUGAAGCAACAAAUGCCCUGCUUCCAGGAAAAGCCUCUAAGCAUCAGGUAACAUCAAAUCGUACCCCAAACCGACACAGGUGGUCAGGUAGAGAAUACCAAGGCGCUUGAGAGAACUCGGGUGAAGGAACUAGGCAAAAUGGUGCCGUAACUUCGGGAGAAGGCACGCUGAUAUGUAGGUGAAGCGACUUGCUCGUGGAGCUGAAAUCAGUCGAAGAUACCAGCUGGCUGCAACUGUUUAUUAAAAACACAGCACUGUGCAAACACGAAAGUGGACGUAUACGGUGUGACGCCUGCCCGGUGCCGGAAGGUUAAUUGAUGGGGUCAGCGCAAGCGAAGCUCUUGAUCGAAGCCCCGGUAAACGGCGGCCGUAACUAUAACGGUCCUAAGGUAGCGAAAUUCCUUGUCGGGUAAGUUCCGACCUGCACGAAUGGCGUAAUGAUGGCCAGGCUGUCUCCACCCGAGACUCAGUGAAAUUGAACUCGCUGUGAAGAUGCAGUGUACCCGCGGCAAGACGGAAAGACCCCGUGAACCUUUACUAUAGCUUGACACUGAACAUUGAGCCUUGAUGUGUAGGAUAGGUGGGAGGCUUUGAAGUGUGGACGCCAGUCUGCAUGGAGCCGGCCUUGAAAUACCACCCUUUAAUGUUUGAUGUUCUAACGUUGACCCGUGAUCCGGGUUGCGGACAGUGUCUGGUGGGUAGUUUGACUGGGGCGGUCUCCUCCUAAAGAGUAACGGAGGAGCACGAAGGUUGGCUAAUCCUGGUCGGACAUCAGGAGGUUAGUGCAAUGGCAUAAGCCAGCUUGACUGCGAGCGUGACGGCGCGAGCAGGUGCGAAAGCAGGUCAUAGUGAUCCGGUGGUUCUGAAUGGAAGGGCCAUCGCUCAACGGAUAAAAGGUACUCCGGGGAUAACAGGCUGAUACCGCCCAAGAGUUCAUAUCGACGGCGGUGUUUGGCACCUCGAUGUCGGCUCAUCACAUCCUGGGGCUGAAGUAGGUCCCAAGGGUAUGGCUGUUCGCCAUUUAAAGUGGUACGCGAGCUGGGUUUAGAACGUCGUGAGACAGUUCGGUCCCUAUCUGCCGUGGGCGCUGGAGAACUGAGGGGGGCUGCUCCUAGUACGAGAGGACCGGAGUGGACGCAUCACUGGUGUUCGGGUUGUCAUGCCAAUGGCACUGCCCGGUAGCUAAAUGCGGAAGAGAUAAGUGCUGAAAGCAUCUAAGCACGAAACUUGCCCCGAGAUGAGUUCUCCCUGACUCCUUGAGAGUCCUGAAGGAACGUUGAAGACGACGACGUUGAUAGGCCGGGUGUGUAAGCGCAGCGAUGCGUUGAGCUAACCGGUACUAAUGAACCGUGAG